rnacentral:rRNA from 1 species
UACGUAGGCAGCGAGCGUUGUUCGGAAUUACUGGGCGUAAAGAGUGUGUAGGCGGUGCUCUAAGUUCGGUGUGAAAUCUCCCGGCUUAACUGGGAGGGUGCGCCGGAAACUGGAAUGCUCGAACGUGGGAGAGGAAAGCGGAAUUCCUGGUGUAGCGGUGAAAUGCGUAGAGAUCGGGAGGAACACCAGUGGCGAAGGCGGCUACCUGGACCAGCACUGACACUGAGGCACGAAAGCGUGGGGAGCAAACAGG